rnacentral:rRNA from 1 species
GUGGAUCUGUUGCUAAAGACCGUACUGCAAGGAGGCCGUCAGUCUGUAUAGCUUAAUCGCUGAUGAGCAGCUGGUCUCUUUUCUCAACCCUUGUCUUUUGCGCACCCAUGUUUCCUCGGCAGGCUUGCCUGCCGGUUGGACAAUUCUAUAACCUUUUUAAUUUUCAAUCAGCGUCUGAAAAACUUAAUAAUUACAACUUUCAACAACGGAUCUCUUGGUUCUGGCAUCGAUGAAGAACGCAGCGAAAUGCGAUAAGUAGUGUGAAUUGCAGAAUUCAGUGAAUCAUCGAAUCUUUGAACGCACAUUGCGCCCCUUGGUAUUCCAUGGGGCAUGCCUGUUCGAGCGUCAUUUGUACCUUCAAGCUUUGCUUGGUGUUGGGUGUUUGUCCUCUCCCUAGUGUUUGGACUCGCCUUAAAACAAUUGGCAGCCAGUGUUUUGGUAUUGAAGCGCAGCACAAGUCGCGAUUCUAACCCAAUAACACUUGCGUCCAGAAGUCUUUUUUCACUUUUGACCUCGAAUCAGGUAGGGAUACCCGCUGAACUUAAGCAUAU